rnacentral:rRNA from 1 species
GACGAACGCUGGCGGCGCGCCUAACACAUGCAAGUCGAGCGAGGACCGGGGCUUCGGCCCCGGGGACAGCGGCGAACGGGUGAGUAACACGUGGGUAACCUGUCCUCGGCACCGGGAUAGCGCGGGGAAACCCGGAUUAAUACCGGACGGCCUCCGGAGCCUGCGGGCGACGGAGAAAAGGUGGCUUCGGCUUCCGGCUGAGGAGGGGCCUGCGGGGGAUUAGCUUGUUGGCGGGGUAACGGCCCACCAAGGCGACAAUCCGUAGCUGGUCUGAGAGGACGAUCAGCCACACUGGGACUGAGACACGGGCCAGACUCCUACGGGAGGCAGCAGGGGGGAAUCUUGCGCAAGGGGCGAAAGCCUGACGCAGCGGCGCCGGGUGCGGGAAGAAGGCGUUCGGGUUGGAAACCGCUUUCAGGGGGGACGAAGCCGCUCGGGUGAAUAGCCCAGAGGGUGACGGUACCUCCAGAAGAAGCCCCGGCUAACUACGUGCCAGCCGCCGCCGUAACAC